ACGACAAUAAGAACAACAAAAUGCAGUAGGCUCUAUACCAGGCUUGGGUAACCUUUUUCAAGAGGCGGGCCACAUGAAACAUGACACUACAAAGAAAAUUUCAAGUUUGUUCGGAACUUCAAAAACUCUCAGAUCCCCUCAACAUUUUCUAAGAUUCUCCCACCACCGUCAUACCUUAGCAAGGUAAGACAGUUUAAUGACGUAAUCCUUAUUAUUGGUACACAACAUAUAUUCAUGGUACACAAACAUGUACGCUCGUUACAAGGUGGGGAAAAUCCACUUUGAAACUGUCGAACGAGUGCAUCGGUCAAUCAAUAGUACAGACAAGAUAUUAAUGUUGCCAUUGCCUACUAACCACACAUCAGUUCUAUUGCUCCUUCUUGUUAAUAGAUAAAACGGCAGUAGCACAGAGCAAGGUCGAACGCUUCAACUUGACUGUGAAGGUUUAGAGUCAUUGAUGGGCGUAGGAUCUUUACUUUCUGCAAACGAAAGACUUUAAUGUUCCAGAGAAGCGCAUAAAUGAAAGACACAGAAAUCUUUAAAGGCAAUAAAUAAAAAUUAGCUCACA